CCAACUGAAGAUCAAGAAACAGUGGGCUUAAGGUGGACCAUGAGUUCAUGCUUUAAAAGUAACCUAAAACAUGAAGCUUUUUGCCUUGGACAAAAGCCAAGCAAUGAAGCAGUUUUAGCUUGGAGGCUACCAAGAAAAAAAUAUUACCCAGAGAGAAAAGGUUGUUACAUCCUCCAGCACUAAUAAGACUAUUCCUCUGAAGUAUAUUACAGAGUAGCAGUAAAUAACUAGGCAUUAUCUUCCUGGCUGAUAUAUGUCCCUUCAGGCUCCUUUAACUUCACUAUGGAGACAUGCAGAUUCUUCAGGCUGGAAGAGCAGAUUUUUGCUCUGACACUUUUACUCCCUGGUUUAAUAAUAUGUUAACUUAUUUGGAUGUCUACUCUGCUCUGAUGAGGCCCCACCUGCAGAACUGCAUCCAGUUCUGGAGCCUUCAUUACAAGAAGGAUGUGGAGAUACUGGAGCAUGUCCAGAGAAGGGCCAUGAGGAUGAUCAGAGGGGUGGAGCACCUCUGCUGUGAGGACAGACUGAAAGAGUUGGGGCUGUUCAGUCUGGAGAAGAGGAGGCUCCAAGGUGACCUUAUUGUGGCCUUUCAGUAUCUGAAGGGAGCCUACAAAAAAGCUGGGGAGGGACUUUUUUAGACUAUCAGGGAAUGACAGGACUAGGGGGAAUGGAGUAAAGCUGGAGAUGAGUAGGUUCAAGCUGGAGGAGGAAGUUGUUUAGCAUGAGAGUUGUGAGAGCCUGGAAUGGGUUGCCCAGGGAGGUGGUUGAGGCCCCAUCCCUGGAGGUAUUUAGGGCCAGGCUGGAUGGGGCUCUGGCCACCCUGAUCUAGGGUAAUCUACAGGAUGAUUCAGGAUCUCUUAAAAGAGGUGAAAUGAAUUGUCAUGUAGAGACUCUUAUAUCUUCAAAGCAGACUGAUGAAACGUAGCUUAAACCAGCCACCUAUUUUUCAAGUCGUCAAAGAUACAUGGAGUGAAGCUGACUAUAAAGUUCUUUAUUCUUUGAGAAAUCUGUGAAAAUUUUGCUGAAAGCCUGAAAGGCUUCAAUGCUUCCCAUUGCAUUUUCUAGUUUGCCUAAUGAGAACUUCUAUAUCAGUUUAAAAUAGCACUUUUUUGGUCCUUUCAUGCUUUUUGUAAAGAAGUAAGCGUGCUUUAACAUUUUAGGUGUACUUAGGAACUGAGUAAUAUAGAAGCAUGAGUCUUCUCAGGUCAGCUUUCCAUAUUGAGAAAAUAAUCUUACACAGAUGUAUAUUAGAAGCUAAAGUUGUUUUGGUUAAAUUCACAUAUGUUUAUUAAACCAGAAGCAGUAAGAAGCGUUAUGCAAAUAGUCUCUUUGCUGAACUUAGAUCUUUAACUAAACCCAGUUUCAUAGCUUUUUUCUGUCUAAGGAGUUGAUGCCAGUCAGAGACCAAUUUUACUGUUAGUCUGAUGGUCUUGCUGCACAUAAACAGACUCACAGAUUGCAUUGGGUUGGAAGGAAUCUCAAAGCUUAUCUUGUACUACUUCCCAGCAGUGAGCGGGGACACCUCCAACUAGAUCAGACUGAUGUGCUAGUUUGAGGCUAACUGGAAUAUUUUAGUGAAAGAAAUUAGGUUAUAGGCUGUGAUAAGGAAACAAUGGUGAUGUCUACCUCACUCAUAGGCUUGCUGAGAUGUAUAAAAACGAGAACACAAAACAGGGAUAAGACGGUGUGUCAGUGUGUGUCCCCCUUGCAGUUGGUGCCUGUGUAGCCCCUGUGUAGCCCAACUAGUUCUACUUCUAAAACCCUUUGCCAAUGCUCCAAACUCACCUUGAAUGUAAGGUCUGGGGUAAGGUAGAGGGGUGGAAAGAAGGUGGAAGUGUGGUUGGGAGCCCCUCCUGGGCACUCUGUUUCUGGGAGAGCUGUUGUGUUUCUAUAUUACCUUUAACUUGUGCAAUUUUGUACAUAGCUGUAUAUAUUGUAAAUACCUGCUUGUAUAUUGUGCUAAGCUGUAAAU